rnacentral:rRNA from 1 species
UACGUAGGGGGCGAGCGUUGUCCGGAAUCAUUGGGCGUAAAGCGCGUGUAGGCGGUCCGGUAAGUCCGCUGUGAAAGUCGGGGGCUCAACCCUCGGAUGCCGGUGGAUACUGUCGGGCUUGAGUACGGAAGAGGCGAGUGGAAUUCCUGGUGUAGCGGUGAAAUGCGCAGAUAUCAGGAGGAACACCUAUUGCGAAGGCAGCUCGCUGGGACGUUACUGACGCUGAGACGCGAAAGCGUGGGGAGCAAACAGG